rnacentral:rRNA from 1 species
UCUUAUUGUCCAUCAUUUAGUUGGGCACUUUAAAGAGACUGCCGGUGUUAAGCCGGAGGAAGGUGGGGAUGACGUCAAGUCCUCAUGGCCUUUAUGCCCAGGGCUACACACGUGCUACAAUGGGCGGUACAAAGAGAAGCAACCUCGCGAGGGUGAGCAAAUCUCAAAAAGCCGUUCUCAGUUCGGAUUGAAGUCUGCAACUCGACUUCAUGAAGUCGGAAUCGCUAGUAAUCGCGGAUCAGCAUGCCGCGGUGAAUACGUUCCCGGGCCUU